CCUACGGGUGGCUGCAGUGGGGAAUAUUGCACAAUGGGGGAAACCCUGAUGCAGCGACGCCGCGUGAGUGAAGAAGUAAUUCGUUAUUUAAAGCUCUAUCAGCAGGGAAGUAAAUGACGGUACCUGAGUAAGAAGCCCCGGCUAACUACGUUCCAGCAGCCGCGGUAAUACGGAGGGGGCAAGCGUUAUCCGGAUUUACGGGGCGGAAAGGGGAUGUAGACGGGAGUGCAGGUCUGUGGUGAAAGGCGGGGGCUCAACCCCCGGACUGCGCUGGAAACUGUACGGCUGGAGUGCAGGGGAGGUAAGUGGAAUUCCUAGUGUAGCGGUGAAAUGCGUAGAUAUUAGGAGGAACACCAGUGGCGAAGGCGGCUUACUGGACUGUAACUGACGUUGAGGCUCGAAAGCGUGGGGAGCAAACAGGAUUAGAUACCCUGGUAGUC
rnacentral:rRNA from 1 species